rnacentral:rRNA from 1 species
UACGUAGGGUGCAAGCGUUGUCCGGAAUUAUUGGGCGUAAAGAGCUCGUAGGCGGUCUGUCGCGUCUGCUGUGAAAACCCGAGGCUCAACCUCGGGCCUGCAGUGGGUACGGGCAGACUAGAGUGCGGUAGGGGGAGAUUGGAAUUCCUGGUGUAGCGGUGGAAUGCGCAGAUAUCAGGAGGAACACCGAUGGCGAAGGCAGAUCUCUGGGCCGUAACUGACGCUGAGGAGCGAAAAGCAUGGGGAGCGAACAGG